rnacentral:lncRNA from 1 species
UAUUUUGUUGUUUUGCAGUUUCUUAAGAGCUUUUGGAAAGUGCUUUUAAAAUAAGCUGCUUUUGUUCUCUGCAUAUUACAACUUUGGAAGUGACUUGAUGAAGGUGGCUUGUAAGAAAUGCCAAACUUGGGGGCGCCAGCUUUUGGUCACCAACAACACCUUUUUUUAUUUAAUUAGAAAAUGUAAUUAUUUAAGGUUUUCUUUUAAGACAAAUGUGUAUAUUUGGAUUUAUUUGUAACUUAUUGAAUUACAAGUCUAAUAGCAAUUGUAACUUGUUGGAUUUGGGAAAGAAUUGAAUUACUAAAGUGUAUUUUCUAUUAUUUGGAAUAUUGUUUGGAUUAUUAUUUAUUUGUGCA